GGACGGCAGCGGGCCCUUCGGGGCGCCGGCGAGUGGCGGACGGGUGAGUAACGCGUAGGAAUCUGCCCUGUAGUGGGGGACAACUUAGGGAAACUUAAGCUAAUACCGCAUACGCUCCUUCUCGGAAGAGGGGGAGGAAAGCGGGGGACCUUCGGGCCUCGCGCUAUGGGAUGAGCCUGCGUUGGAUUAGCUAGUUGGCAGGGUAAAGGCCUACCAAGGCGACGAUCCAUAGCUGGUCUGAGAGGACGAUCAGCCACACUGGGACUGAGACACGGCCCAGACUCCUACGGGAGGCAGCAGUGGGGAAUAUUGGACAAUGGGCGCAAGCCUGAUCCAGCAAUACCGCGUGUGUGAAGAAGGCCUGAGGGUUGUAAAGCACUUUCACUGGGGAGGAAAAAGUGGCGGCCAAUACCCGUUACCUUGACAUUACCUAGAGAAGAAGCACCGGCUAACUCCGUGCCAGCAGCCGCGGUAAUACGGAGGGUGCGAGCGUUAAUCGGAAUUACUGGGCGUAAAGCGUGCGUAGGCGGCCUGUUAAGUCAGAUGUGAAAGCCCUGGGCUCAACCUGGGAACGGCAUUUGAAACUGGCAAGCUAGAGUUAGGUAGAGGGGAGUGGAAUUUCAGGUGUAGCGGUGAAAUGCGUAGAUAUCUGAAGGAACACCAGUGGCGAAGGCGGCUCCCUGGACCCAAACUGACGCUGAGGUACGAAAGCGUGGGUAGCAAACAGGAUUAGAUACCCUGGUAGUCCACGCCGUAAACGACGUCGACUAGCCGUUGGGCCCUUAUAGGGUUUAGUGGCGCAGCUAACGCAUUAAGUCGACCGCCUGGGGAGUACGGCCGCAAGGUUAAAACUCAAAUGAAUUGACGGGGGCCCGCACAAGCGGUGGAGCAUGUGGUUUAAUUCGAUGCAACGCGAAGAACCUUACCCGGAUUUGAAAGGCCAGCGACAACCGAUGAAAGUCGGUCUUGUAGCAAUACACGCUGGUACAGGUGCUGCAUGGCUGUCGUCAGCUCGUGCCGUGAGGUGUUGGGUUAAGUCCCGCAACGAGCGCAACCCCUGCACUUAGUUGCCAUCAGGUCAAGCUGGGCACUCUAAGUGGACUGCCUACGCAAGUAGUGAGGAAGGUGGGGAUGACGUCAAGUCCUCAUGGCCCUUACAUCCGGGGCCACACACGUGCUACAAUGGCCACUACAAAGGGUUGCAGAGCCGCGAGGCGAAGCUAAUCCCAAAAAAGUGGUCUCAGUUCGGAUUGGAGUCUGCAACUCGACUCCAUGAAGCUGGAAUUGCUAGUAAUC
rnacentral:rRNA from 1 species